GACGAACGCUGGCGGCGUGCCUAAUACAUGCAAGUCGAGCGGACUUUCAAGAAGCUUGCUUUUUGAAAGUUAGCGGCGGACGGGUGAGUAACACGUGGGCAACCUGCCUGCAAGACGGGGAUAACUCCGGGAAACCGGGGCUAAUACCGGAUAAUAUCUUCCUUCGCAUGAAGGAAGGUUGAAAGGCGGCGCAAGCUGCCGCUUGCAGAUGGGCCCGCGGCGCAUUAGCUAGUUGGGGAGGUAACGGCUCACCAAGGCGACGAUGCGUAGCCGACCUGAGAGGGUGAUCGGCCACACUGGGACUGAGACACGGCCCAGACUCCUACGGGAGGCAGCAGUAGGGAAUCUUCCGCAAUGGACGAAAGUCUGACGGAGCAACGCCGCGUGAGCGAAGAAGGUCUUCGGAUCGUAAAGCUCUGUUGUCAGGGAAGAACAAGUACCGUUCGAACAGGGCGGUACCUUGACGGUACCUGACCAGAAAGCCACGGCUAACUACGUG
rnacentral:rRNA from 1 species